rnacentral:rRNA from 1 species
AUUGAACGCUGGCGGCAGGCCUAACACAUGCAAGUCGAACGAGUGGCGGACGGGUGAGUAAUGUCUGGGAAACUGCCCGAUGGAGGGGGAAAACUACUGGAACCGGGAGCUAAUACCGCAUACUAUCGGUAACGCCUAGAUGGGAUUAGCUAGUAGGGGGGGUAACGGCUCACCUAGGCGACGACCCCUAGCUGGUCUGAGAGGAUGACCAGCCACACUGGAACUGAGACACGGUCCAGACUCCUACGGGAGGCAGCAGUGGGGAAUAUUGCACAAUGGGCGCAAGCCUGAUGCAGCCAUGCCGCGUGUAUGAAGAAGGCCUUCGGGUUGUAAAGUACUUUCAGCGGGGAGGCGUUACUGGCAGAAGAAGCACCGGCUAACUCCGUGCCAGCAGCCGCGGUAAUAC